rnacentral:rRNA from 1 species
UACGUAGGGUGCAAGCGUUGUCCGGAAUUAUUGGGCGUAAAGAGCUCGUAGGCGGCUUGUCGCGUCGGCUGUGAAAACCUGGGGCUCAACCCCGGGCCUGCAGCCGAUACGGGCAAGCUAGAAUUCGGUAGGGGAGACUGGAAUUCCCGGUGUAGCGGUGAAAUGCGCAGAUAUCUGGAGGAACACCGGUGGCGAAGGCGGCAUCCUGGACCAACACUGACGCUGAUGAGCGAAAGCCAGGGGAGCAAACGGG